UGACCUCGAAUCAGGUAGGGAUACCCGCUGAACUUAAGCAUAUCAAUAAGCGGAGGAAAAAAA
rnacentral:ncRNA from 1 species